rnacentral:rRNA from 1 species
UCUACCUUUUACAGAGGGAUAGCCCAGAGAAAUUUGGAUUAAUACCUCAUAGUAUUUUCGAAUCGCAUGAUUUGAUUAUUAAAGUUCCAACGGUAAAAGAUGAGUAUGCGUCCCAUUAGCUAGAUGGUAAGGUAACGGCUUACCAUGGCAACGAUGGGUAGGGGUCCUGAGAGGGAGAUCCCCCACACUGGUACUGAGACACGGACCAGACUCCUACGGGAGGCAGCAGUGAGGAAUAUUGGACAAUGGGCGCAAGCCUGAUCCAGCCAUGCCGCGUGCAGGAAGACGGUCCUAUGGAUUGUAAACUGCUUUUAUACAGGAAGAAACACCUCUACGUGUAGAGACUUGACGGUACUGUAUGAAUAAGCAUCGGCUAACUCCGUGCCAGCAGCCGCGGUAAUACGGAGGAUGCAAGCGUUAUCCGGAAUCAUUGGGUUUAAAGGGUCCGUAGGCGGUUUAAUAAGUCAGUGGUGAAAGCCCAUCGCUCAACGAUGGAACGGCCAUUGAUACUGUUAAACUUGAAUUAUUAGGAAGUAACUAGAAUAUGUAGUGUAGCGGUGAAAUGCUUAGAGAUUACAUGGAAUACCAAUUGCGAAGGCAGGUUACUACUAAUAUAUUGACGCUGAUGGACGAAAGCGUGGGGAGCGAACAGGAUUAGAUACCCUGGUAGUCCACGCCGUAAACGAUGGAUACUAGCUGUUCGGAGCAAUCUGAGUGGCUAAGCGAAAGUGAUAAGUAUCCCACCUGGGGAGUACGUUCGCAAGAAUGAAACUCAAAGGAAUUGACGGGGGCCCGCACAA